UACGUAGGGUGCAAGCGUUGUCCGGAAUCAUUGGGCGUAAAGCGCGCGUAGGUGGCUUCGUAAGUCCGUUGUGAAAGUCAAAGGCUCAACCUUUGAAUGCCGAUGGAUACUGCGAAGCUAGAGUACGGAAGAGGCGAGUGGAAUUCCUGGUGUAGCGGUGGAAUGCGCAGAUAUCCGGAAGAACACCUGAGGCGAAGGCGGCUUGCUGGGCCUGAUCUGACGCUGAGGCGCGAAAGCGUGGGGAGCAAACAGG
rnacentral:rRNA from 1 species